rnacentral:rRNA from 1 species
GAUGAACGCUGGCGGCGUGCCUAAUACAUGCAAGUCGAACGAACAGACGAGGAGCUUGCUCCUCUGACUUUAGCGGCGCACGGGUGAGUAACACGUGUAGAACCUACCUAUAAGACUGGGAUAAAUUCGGGAAACCGGAACUAAUACCGGAUAAUAUAUUGAACCGCAUGGUUCAAUAGUGAAAGACGGUUUUGCUUUCACUUAUAGAUGGAUCCGCGCGGGAUUAGCUAGUUGGUAAGGUAACGGCUUACCAAGGCAACGAUGCGUAGCCGACCUGAGAGGGUGAUCGGCCACACUGGAACUGAGACACGGUCCAGACUCCUACGGGAGGCAGCAGUAGGGAAUCUUGCGCAAUGGGCGAAAGCCUGACGGAGCAACGCCGCGUGAGUGAUGAAGGUCUUCGGAUCGUAAAACUCUGUUAUCAGGGAGGAACAAAGUUGUGAGUAACUAUGCACGUAUUGACGGUACCUGCUCAGAAAGCCACGGCUAACUCCGUG